rnacentral:rRNA from 1 species
AAAUGGGGUACAGCCCAUUUGAAAAAGGAUACAACCUCAAACACAGGGUAAUGCCUCAAUAUUUAACUAAGUAGGCCUAAGAGCAGCCACCUUUAAAAAAGCGUCACAGCUUUACUCUUUUUUUACUAAUUCUGACCUAAACACAAAACCCCUCUCCCCUACUGAAUGACCCCAUACCCCCUAUGGAAAACCAUAUGUUAGAACUAGUAACAAGAAACAAUUCUCCUCAAACGUAAGUGUAAGCCGGAAUGAACAGCUCGCCGGCGCUUACCGCUAAUGAUCCCAUAGUAACAACCUCAUACAAGAAAACCCUACUUUUCCUAACGUUAAUCUUACACUAGAACUUUUAUGGAAAGAUUAAAAAAGGAGGAAGGAACUCGGCAAAUACUAACCCCGCCUGUUUACCAAAAACAUCGCCUUCUGCUAAUUAAAUAGAAGGUCCAGCCUGCCCAGUGACAACUUAAACGGCCGCGGUAUUUUAACCGUGCAAAGGUAGCACAAUCACUUGUUCUUUAAAUCGGGACUAGUAUGAAAGGCACCACGAGGGUUAUACUGUCUCCCCCCUUUAAUCAGUGAAACUAAUCUCCUCGUGAAGAAGCGGGGAUAAAUAUAUAAGACGAGAAGACCCCAUGGAGCUUAAAACAAAUAUCACUUGUACUAUUCACGACACCCCCUUAAAAUUAGCAAGCUUGUCAUACCAGUUUUUGGUUGGGGUGACCGCGGAGUAAAAUAAAACCUCCACAGCGAAAGGAACUUACCUCCUAAUCAACAGAGCUACAACUCGCAGAAUCAAAAUAUUGACCCAAAUUGACCCAAUACAUUUGAGCAACGAACCAAGUUACCCUGGGGAUAACAGCGCAAUCCACUUCAAGAGCCCAUAUCGACAAGUGGGUUUACGACCUCGAUGUUGGAUCAGGGUAUCCCAGUGGUGCAACCGCUACUAAGGGUUCGUUUGUUCAACGAUUAAAACCCU